rnacentral:rRNA from 1 species
UACAGAGGCCCCAAGCGUUAUUGAGAAUCACUGGGUUUAAAGGGUGCGUAGGUGGCGCGUUAGGUCCGUUGUGAAAUCCCUUGGCUCAACCAAGGAAAUGCUUCGGAUACUGGCGUGCUUGAGGCUAGUAUGGGUCACUGGAACUGACGGUGGAGCGGUGAAAUGCGUAGAUAUCGUCAGGAACGCCAAUGGUGAAGACAGGUGACUGGGCUAGAUCUGACACUGAGGCACGAAAGCGUGGGGAGCGAACGGG